UACAGAGGUCUCAAGCGUUGUUCGGAUUCAUUGGGCGUAAAGGGUGUGAAGGUGGCGCGCUAAAUCGGGUGUGAAAUUUCGGAGCUUAACUCCGAAACUGCAUUCGAUACUGGCGUGCUUGAGGACUGGAGAGGAGACUGGAAUUCAUGGUGUAGCAGUGAAAUGCGUAGAGAUCAUGAGGAAGACCAGUGGCGAAGGCGGGUCUCUGGACAGUUCCUGACACUGAGACACGAAGGCCAGGGGAGCAAACGGG
rnacentral:rRNA from 1 species